GUCGUUGUGGCGGAGUGGUUAACGCGUCAGACUUGAAUUCCCUUCGAGCUAUCUGAUACUCUCGAGUGCGCAGGUUCGAAUCCUGUCAGCGACG